AGUGAACGCUGGCGGUAGGCCUAACACAUGCAAGUCGAACGGCAGCACAGUAAGAGCUUGCUCUUACGGGUGGCGAGUGGCGGACGGGUGAGGAAUACAUCGGAAUCUACUUUUUCGUGGGGGAUAACGUAGGGAAACUUACGCUAAUACCGCAUACGAUCUACGGGUGAAAGCAGGGGAUCUUCGGACCUUGCGCGAUUGAAUGAGCCGAUGUCGGAUUAGCUAGUUGGCGGGGUAAAGGCCCACCAAGGCGACGAUCCGUAGCUGGACUGAGAGGAUGAUCAGCCACACUGGAACUGAGACACGGUCCAGACUCCUACGGGAGGCAGCAGUGGGGAAUAUUGGACAAUGGGCGCAAGCCUGAUCCAGCCAUACCGCGUGGGUGAAGAAGGCCUUCGGGUUGUAAAGCCCUUUUGUUGGGAAAGAAAAGCAGCAGGUUAAUACCCCGCUGUUCUGACGGUACCCAAAGAAUAAGCACCGGCUAACUUCGUG
rnacentral:rRNA from 1 species